rnacentral:rRNA from 1 species
UACAGAGGUCUCAAGCGUUGUUCGGAUUCAUUGGGCGUAAAGGGUGCGUAGGUGGCGCCAUAAGUCAGGUGUGAAAUCUCGGAGCUCAACUCCGAAACUGCACUUGAUACUGUGGUGCUGGAGUACUGGAGAGGAGAUUGGAAUUUACGGUGUAGCAGUGAAAUGCGUAGAUAUCGUAAGGAAGACCAGUGGCGAAGGCGAAUCUCUGGACAGUUACUGACACUGAGGCACGAAAGGCCAGGGGGAGCAAACGGG